GGGUGUAUAGCUCAAGUGGCAGAGUGCAUGCUUAGCAUGCUUGACGUCCUGGGUUCAAUCCCCAGUACUUCCU
rnacentral:tRNA from 1 species